rnacentral:snRNA from 1 species
GGAUGUGAGGGUGAUCUGGCUGAGACAUCUGGCACCCCAUUGAUUGCCAGGGUUGAUUCGGUUGAUCUGGCUGGCUAGGAGGUGGUUGUCCCCUUCCUCCCUCAUCACUCCACGUAUGUUCCUCCCAAAGCUGCUUGCUUUAUUGAGGCCGAAGAGGAUGGCCUUCCUUGAAUAGAGAUAGACCAGUCUUUUGCUAGGGGGUAUAGGAGUAGCUGUGCUCCCCUGCUAGAACCUCCAAAAAAGCUCUCAAGAACUCAUACAGCUCAACAACAACAAAAAACUCAAUAAAAAACUGGUGGUCAGUACAUAU